rnacentral:lncRNA from 1 species
CCACACUGUACCAAACUACAGGACGAGCUAACGGUAUGGAUGGAUUUGUAAACAUCACAUACAACCCUACUUCCAAUGUUGUGACAGUGAUGCCCUCGACUAUCGGAUCCACCACGAUGACCACCGUGGUCUCAUACCCAAAGGCUGUUCCCUACAACUGCAGCUACGUCGAAGUCAGCAAUGUCCUCGAACCCGUUGGCCUUAAAGCCGCUCAGUUGGCGCCAACUGCCCCUCCCACAACUGCUCCGACGCCUGCCCCCAUGAUGAUGGGACCAGUUGAAUCACCAAUGGAAGCUCCCAUGUCUUCCCCGAUGAUGGCACCACCAAUUGAAUCUCCCAUGGAGUCGCCAAUGGAGUCGCCAAUGGAGUCGCCAAUGAAGUCACCAAUGGAGUCACCAAUGGAGUCACCAAUGGAGUCACCAAUGGAGUCACCAAUGGAGUCACCUGUUGAAUCCCCUGCUGAAACCCCAGUCAUGAUGCCACCAAUGCCCGAUUUGGAGGGACCUGCGAUGGGACCAUCCUCCGCAGUCAGUGGUGCAUCACUUGUCAACUUCGACAUCGCCGCUUUGGUUGCGUCGGCUG